GGAUUGCGCAAUCUGAGGUGAGGCUCGUUUUUUUUUUUUUUUUACUUUCUCUGCCUCCCCUGACCGCAUGUCCCUGCUGAGGCUGGUUUGCUGUGAUCAUGCUUGGCUACUGGGUAUGAGAGCUUCAACAGCAGUAAGUGUAUGGGCAUGCAUGGGUGGGUGUGCCUACGUUUUUGUCUGCCUUCAAAUGAUACAUUAUUCCAAUUCAAUUUUAGGUUUGAUUAUUUUUUACAAAUAUUAUAUGAUUUGUUCUUCAUAUCUGUAUGUGGUCGUACACAUAUACGAAAUAGAUAUGUGUGUGUGUGUGUGUGUGUGUGUGUGUGUGUGUAGGCUAGUCAUAGGGAUGGUGUGGUGUAAAGCCUGUGGAAACAGCGUGGGUGUGUGUGUGGACCGCUGCUGUGACAUCUGCUGCCAGGGCUGUGUGAGCUGCUGUGGUUGCCUGUGCCCCCGUGACUGUCUCUACACAUUCUGUGCCAUGUAUUACCGCCUUGCCCACUACUGUUCUGUCGGUCAGAAACCAGAGCCGGCCUAUGCCAUGCCUGGAUCACUAUAAACUGUUAUUCAUCGCCUGUGCUGCUGAGCAGCUCCCAGAUGGAGUGCAGGGACACAGACACAGAACCAGCGCUGACCAGCACCAGCAGGCCUCCUCCAUCAGCUCAGCCCACCACUUCAUCCAUUCAGACUCAGCCUCCAUCUCCUCUGAUGAACCUCUCAUGCUACACUUUAAUGUAUGUAUACAUAUAUAGUUGAUUCCUUUUUUGCCCUUUCAGUUUUUUUUGUUCCAGCACAUACUGCUGUUGUCAUAUCAUGAUGACUGUCCUCUGAAUCAAACCAAGCGGGUCAUCAUAUCUCUCAUAUUUGUUUGUUAUUUUGCACCCCUCUGCCUGGAUGUGCGUGCGUGCACAAGCAGACGGUAUAUAUUUGUAAGAAUGCUUUCAAAGGAGACAGAGAGACCGAAAAGGGAGAGUGAGAGUGAGAACCGGAAAAAGGGAGAAAGAUAAAGAGAGAGUGCAGAGAGGUGAUAAAGUAAUUAUCAGCUCAUAAACCUAUUGCCUCAGCAUUAAGGCCUCGGCAUUCCAGGA
rnacentral:lncRNA from 1 species